rnacentral:rRNA from 1 species
CAGUCGCCGCGGUAAUACGAAGGGGGCUAGCGUUCCUCGGAAUGACUGGGCGUAAAGGGCGCGUAGGCGGCGGCCAAAGUCAGGCGUGAAAUUCCCGGGCUCAACCUGGGGGCUGCGUUUGAUACUUGGUUGCUUGAGUGGGGAAGAGGGUCGUGGAAUUCCCAGUGUAGAGGUGAAAUUCGUAGAUAUCGGAAGGAACACCUGUGGCGAAAGCGGCUCACUGGACCAUAACUGACGCUGAUGCACGAAAGCUAGGGGAGCAAACAGGAUUAGAUACCCCUGUAGUCCCUGUCUCUUAUAC